CCGCCUAGUGGCGGCCCCUUUUUCUAUCUCAGUCAUAGCCUGGGCAGACACGGCUCGGGCGGCUACUGCCCUCCAAUCCCCCAGUGCCAACAUUUGACCAGCUGUGAGUUUAUCAAAUUGUGACAACCAUAGUCCACCUCCCUGUCCCAUCGGGGGUAAUUUAUCUACCAGUGCCUGUACGUCUCCCAGCCCCAAUGGUUUAUAUCGCGGUUCGCCGCCUCCCACUCUAAAGAGAGGCAGCUGAAACCCAGCACAACCAGCUUCCCCUGCUUGUGACCGUGUAUACAUUUUAUUUUGAGUCUUUUGAAUUGAUUCUACUGCGUCAUGGUGUAGUUUAUGUUCUGGUGGGGGCGUACGCGGCAGAGAGUAUACGUCUGCGUCUCCCUUACUCCCAUCUCCACUAAUGUCUGCGUCAGGGUCUUCGUCUGAGUCAGUCCAUCUCCCUACUGCUUGCCCCGUGAGUACCACCCGUCCUUUAUGUGAAUUUCCUUUUUUCUGCCUAGAUUUUGUCCUUCUCACUGUGUCACUAUCGUCCGAUCCCGACCUUGAGUCCUCACCUAACCUGCCUUUAGUACGGCCUGAUUUUUUCUUUUUGGCCCCUGUAAUCUCAUCCUGUUUAUUAUCUCCUAGUCGCCUCCUCUCCUCGUAUCUCCCAUACUCUCUCACUGCCCUUGCCUUGAACGGUUUCACCUCCUCCUCAGCAUCUGUCUCGCUCGCUGACUCCGCCUUCCUACUCAACUUUCUCUUAUCUUGCUUUCCUGUGAAUUGAGUUAUGGGCCUGCUGUUCUGUGUGUCUAAAGACAAUAUCCCCUUCUCUAAACGUAACACUGGAUAUAAUGCAGGCCCAUAACUCAAUUCACAGGAAAGCAAGAUAAGAGAAAGUUGAGUAGGAAGGCGGAGUCAGCGAGCGAGACAGAUGCUGAGGAGGAGGUGAAACCGUUCAAGGCAAGGGCAGUGAGAGAGUAUGGGAGAUACGAGGAGAGGAGGCGACUAGGAGAUAAUAAACAGGAUGAGAUUACAGGGGCCAAAAAGAAAAAAUCAGGCCGUACUAAAGGCAGGUUAGGUGAGGACUCAAGGUCGGGAUCGGACGAUAGUGACACAGUGAGAAGGACAAAAUCUAGGCAGAAAAAAGGAAAUUCACAUAAAGG
ensembl:lncRNA